rnacentral:rRNA from 1 species
AAGUCGAGCGGGCGUAGCAAUACGUCAGCGGCAGACGGGUGAGUAACGCGUGGGAACGUACCUUUUGGUUCGGAACAACACAGGGAAACUUGUGCUAAUACCGGAUAAGCCCUUACGGGGAAAGAUUUAUCGCCGAAAGAUCGGCCCGCGUCUGAUUAGCUAGUUGGUGAGGUAAUGGCUCACCAAGGCGACGAUCAGUAGCUGGUCUGAGAGGAUGAUCAGCCACAUUGGGACUGAGACACGGCCCAAACUCCUACGGGAGGCAGCAGUGGGGAAUAUUGGACAAUGGGGGCAACCCUGAUCCAGCCAUGCCGCGUGAGUGAUGAAGGCCCUAGGGUUGUAAAGCUCUUUUGUGCGGGAAGAUAAUGACGGUACCGCAAGAAUAAGCCCCGGCUAACUUCGUGCCAGCAGCCGCGGUAAUACGAAGGGGGCUAGCGUUGCUCGGAAUCACUGGGCGUAAAGGGUGCGUAGGCGGGUCUUUAAGUCAGGGGUGAAAUCCUGGAGCUCAACUCCAGAACUGCCUUUGAUACUGAAGAUCUUGAGUUCGGGAGAGGUGAGUGGAACUGCGAGUGUAGAGGUGAAAUUCGUAGAUAUUCGCAAGAACACCAGUGGCGAAGGCGGCUCA